rnacentral:rRNA from 1 species
AGAGUGAACGCUGGCGGCAGGCCUAAUACAUGCAAGUCGAACGGCAGCACGGCAGAGCUUGCUCUGUGGGUGGCGAGUGGCGGACGGGUGAGGAAUACAUGGGAAUCUGCCCAGUCGUGGGGGAUAACGUAUGGAAACGUACGCUAAUACCGCAUGCGCCCUUCGGGGGAAAGCCGGGGACCUUCGGGCCUGGCGCGAUUGGAUGAGCCCAUGUCGGAUUAGCUAGUUGGCGGGGUAACGGCCCACCAAGGCGACGAUCCGUAGCUGGUCUGAGAGGAUGAUCAGCCACACUGGACUGAGACACGGCCCAGACCUCCUACGGGAGCAGCAGUGGGGAAUA